rnacentral:lncRNA from 1 species
GUAUCAGUAGUGUUGCCUGAAAGUUAACAUAGGUGGUGUGCCAGACAUAUAUUAGCAAACUGGUCCAAAUAUUGGAGAGGGUUAGGGAGGAGAAAUAACUUCUGGAGGUGUGCUAGAGCAUCAUGUGUGGCAGAACUGAAUUUUCACCUGGACAGUUUGAAUAAGCUUGGGAAUAGGAUAUUUGAGAGCCUCUUGAAGUAUAACAAGGAAACCUGGUGCAGAGCAUACUUUAACUGUGAUAGGAAAUGUGAUAUAAUUGACAACAAUAUGUGUGAGACAUUUAAUGGGGAUAUGUAAGAGCCUCUUUAAGUAUAACAAGGAAACCUGGUGCAGAGCAUACUUCAACUGUGAUAUGAAAUGUGAUCUAAUUGACAACAAUAUGUGUGAGACAUUUAAUGCUUGGAUACUUGCUGCUCGGCACAAGACAAUUAUCACAAUGUUGGAGGAAAUUAGAGUGAAGAUGAUGGAGAGAAUAGGAAAGUUGAGGGAGUUUGCAGAUACUUGAACUGUGAUAGGAAAUGUUAAAUAAUUGACAACAAUAUGUGUGAGACAUUUAAUGCUUGGAUACUUGCUGCUCGGCACAAGACAAUUAUCAUAAUGUUGGAGGAAAUUAGAGUGAAGAUGAUGGAGAGAAUAGGGAAGUUGAGGGAGUUUGCAGAUACUUGGAUAUGUGAUAUAUCCCCAUUUGCUUUGAAAGUGAUCAGGAUAACAUGGCCCAAUCUAUGAGGUGUACAAUCAAGUGAAUGUUGAAUAUGGCUAUGAGGUUGAGGAUACCUCAUUAACAGUUGUGCUGAAGCAUGUUUGAAUAUGCAAGCUCAAACUUGUACAUGCAGGUCAUGGAUGCUAAAGGGUAUCCCUUGUGCUCAUGCCAUUGCUGCUAUGCAUUUCAAGAACCUUGAACCAAUUAUUUAUAUAUCUCAUUGGUACCACAAAUCCACCUAUCUGAAGGCAUAUUCAACAUUCAUCCAGCCUAUGACAAACAUGCAGAUGUGGCCAAAAUCUGCCCAUCCACCAAUUGAACCCCCACCAAUUAAAAAGAUUCCUGGAAGACUAAAGAAGAAGAGAAGAAGAGAAGAAGAGAAGAAGAGAAGAAGAGAAGAAACUAAACAUCCUACUUCUGGAAAGCUUUCAAGAAGGGGUAUGGAGAUGACAUGGUCAAAUUGUGGUGUAUAUGGACACAACAAGAGGAGUUUCCCUAAGGAAGCAGGGCCGGCAGGUUCUACUCCAGCAAAUGCUUCAUAUGUACAAAGAUGUGGAGAAGAGGAAGAGGCAGACUAAGUAGAGGAAGAGGAACUUCUUCAACUCCAACUACUUAUACCCCUGCUGCUACUGGUAGAGGAAGAGGAACUGCUUCAACUCCAUCUAUUUCUCCCUCUACUGCUACUAGUAGGGGAAGUUUUGGGUUUGGACUAUUUCAAUCAAGCAGUGG